AUUGAACGCUGGCGGCAUGCCUUACACAUGCAAGUCGAACGGUAACAGGGAGCUUGCUCCGCUGACGAGUGGCGAACGGGUGAGUAAUGUAUCGGAACGUACCAUUCAGUGGGGGGAUAACGUAGCGAAAGUUACGCUAAUACCGCAUAUUCUGUGAGCAGGAAAGCAGGGGAUCGCAAGGCCUUGCGCGGACGGAGCGGGCCGAUGGCAGAUUAGGUAGUUGGUGGGAUAAAGCUUACCAAGCCGACGAUCUGUAGCUGGUCUGAGAGGACGACCAGCCACACUGGGACUGAGACACGGCCCAGACUCCUACGGGAGGCAGCAGUGGGGAAUUUUGGACAAUGGGCGCAAGCCUGAUCCAGCCAUGCCGCGUGCAGGAUGAAGGCCUUCGGGUUGUAACUGCUUUGUACGGAACGAAAGACUCUUUCUAAUAAAGAGGUCAUGACGGUACCGUAAGAAUAAGACACCGGCUAACUACGUCGCC
rnacentral:rRNA from 1 species